UGGAGGAUUGAGAAGGUAAGACAGACUUCAUGCUGUAUCUUACUGGUUAUGGCCUCCAAAAUUAUAAUAGUGCAAAGGCAGCUCAUGCUCUCCUCCUGACAUGAGGGAAAGCAGUACUGCAUUUGCACAUAACAU
ensembl:snoRNA